CUACGGCGUAACGUCACGGUAGCGGCUAGAUUCUAUCCCUCUAAAGGACACGCUGACAUCACAGCAGUCACGUGACUGCAGUGAUCACAUGGUACAGAGAGCUGAGUGAGGAAGCAGGAAGUGCGGGAGACUCAAAUCGAUAGGACAUUUUUUGCUUUCCUUCUGCUGCUGUCUUUGUGUCUCGUCAGGAGUUGUUAUCUAGGCUUAUGCUGGACAUGGAAGAAACACUAAUGUGAAAAAGGAGUGAGAAGAACAUGGGUUUUCAUGAAGCAAGAAGCUGGGAUCCUGAUUAUAGGCUGCUUUAAAACAGCCAGCCAGAGAUUUGUAGAUUGUCUUUUUUUCAACUCUGAAUCUGUGCCUAGGAUUUGUGCUAGAAACAAUCUAAAGAAGAUGUACAAGUUUUUGUCUGUUCAGCAGAAAAUGCACUUCUAUAAGAAUAAAAUAAACUGUGUGUUAUGUGCGUGAUAUAUAUCAGCAAAGUACCAAAGAAUACACCUGCUGAAAAAUCCUGAUGAGAUCUGUGUUCCUGUUCUACCUUGUUGAAGCUAAUUGGAGUCUUAUCUCAAGUGUCAUUUGAGACUCACUCCUACUGACCCCGGCUCCUAAGUCUUUAGAAAUAAAUGCUGGAGCACAUAUUUUAUCCCUUUAAAUAUGCAUUAAACACUAGUUUUGUGAUAUAAAGUGUUUAAUAAUGUGCAAUUAAACAACUUUACAAUA